rnacentral:rRNA from 1 species
GAGACAGCAGUCGCCGCGGUAAUACAGAGGGUGCGAGCGUUAAUCGGAUUUACUGGGCGUAAAGCGUGCGUAGGCGGCUUCUUAAGUCGGAUGUGAAAUCCCUGAGCUUAACUUAGGAAUUGCAUUCGAUACUGGGAAGCUAGAGUAUGGGAGAGGAUGGUAGAAUUCCAGGUGUAGCGGUGAAAUGCGUAGAGAUCUGGAGGAAUACCGAUGGCGAAGGCAGCCAUCUGGCCUAAUACUGACGCUGAGGUACGAAAGCAUGGGGAGCAAACAGGAUUAGAUACCCCCGUAGUCCCUGUCUCUUAUAA